GGAGUACGGCCGCAAGGUUAAAACUCAAAUGAAUUGACGGGGGCCCGCACAAGCGGUGGAGCAUGUGGUUUAAUUCGAUGCAACGCGAAGAACCUUACCUACUCUUGACAUCCAGCGAAUCCUGUAGAGAUACGGGAGUGCCUUCGGGAACGCUGAGACAGGUGCUGCAUGGCUGUCGUCAGCUCGUGUUGUGAAAUGUUGGGUUAAGUCCCGCAACGAGCGCAACCCUUAUCCUUUGUUGCCAGCGGUUCGGCCGGGAACUCAAAGGAGACUGCCAGUGAUAAACUGGAGGAAGGUGGGGAUGACGUCAAGUCAUCAUGGCCCUUACGAGUAGGGCUACACACGUGCUACAAUGGCGUAUACAAAGAGAAGCGAACUCGCGAGAGCAAGCGGACCUCAUAAAGUACGUCGUAGUCCGGAUUGGAGUCUGCAACUCGACUCCAUGAAGUCGGAAUCGCUAGUAAUCGUGGAUCAGAAUGC
rnacentral:rRNA from 1 species